UACGGAGGGUGCAAGCGUUAUCCGGAUUCACUGGGUUUAAAGGGUGCGUAGGUGGGCAGGUAAGUCAGUGGUGAAAUCUCCGGGCUUAACCCGGAAACUGCCAUUAAUACUAUCAGUCUUGAAUACCGUGGAGGUAAGCGGAAUAUGUCAUGUAGCGGUGAAAUGCUUAGAUAUGACAUAGAACACCAAUUGCGAAGGCAGCUUACUACCCGAAUAUUGACACUGAGGCACGAAAAGCGUGGGGGAUCAAAACAGG
rnacentral:rRNA from 1 species